CCCAUGGAGUGAUACGAUCUAAAAACGCAUUCUAUCUGGAAAGAAGAAAAAAAAAACGCGAUGUCUAAAAAACGUGUUCUCUCUCACCUGCGAUCUUCACCGCCGUCGACCUUGCGGUCGCUUCACUAAAGGACCCAAUGAUGUCAGAAUUAAAAUGAAUGCUGGUGGAAUCUGUGGGAGUCAUGUUCACUACCUCAAGAUUUCUUCAUUUAAUCCACUUUUUGAUGUAAUCAGUGACUAGAAGAAUAAGGUAGCAGCACACACUUCCGCGACGUAGAUGCAAGAAAGUGGAUUUUGAAGUAAAGUAGAAGCUUGGGGUCUGAUAGCAGCUUGGAGCUUUUGAUGGGAAUCAACUCAAAACAUGAAAUUUGUCAUAGAAACACACCACAAAAUUUUGUUGAAGAAACUCUAAUUUUAUAGUGUUUCUUUCCCUAAUGGUUUACCUAUACAUCACAAAAGAAUUUUCUACUGACCUGGUAUUCUGCUGACAUGAUAAAAAUAGCAAUGCUCAAAAUUAAUUAUAGAUUUAUAUACUGGAGUCCAAUUUUCAUAUGCAUAAAAUCCAUAAGAUUAUAGAUACUUUUUAGUCUUCGGCCUGUCAAAUUCGAGGUGAAUGGGGGACCCUUUGCAAGGCCUGUAGGUUUGUUGAGUCUCAACAGAUCAAGCUUGCUGUUUCUGAGGUGAAGACUAAUAGUGUGGUCUAUUUGAGAUAUGUUCGUGGACCCUCUAAGAGACGAGAGUUUCUCAACCCCGCAAAUCAUCAUGUGUUAAUUGACUCUGAUGCUGCUGCUUUUUCACUAUAAGCACAAGGCAAGGCUUCCAACGUGUUUUGCCAAAGAGUAUGGUGUGGCCCUUGACGACUAUGUAAUGCUGCGUGAUCCGAAGCGAAAUGUCACCGUUGUUCAGGUUGAAAAGAAGAAUGGGAAAGUUUACCUUGACAAUUUGUAGGUUGUGACAUUUUUUGUAGCCAUCAUUAGGUCAAAUUUUUGAAGAAGAUCAUGAGGUCAAUUUUGAGUAUAUUCUUUUGUAGUUUUUGUGGCUUGGCUAUUUUCUAUAUUUUCAUCUAUCUCAAUUCAAAAAGAAUAAUAUAAAAUACAAUUAAUGAAACGAGCUCAAGUAUGGAUACAAUUGAGAACACGGUGGAUGCGUAUAAAUUAAAUUUCAGCAUUUAAAUUGAGCACAAUAAGGAAGGCAUAAUAAAGGAAAGAUGUAAAAGCAAUACAAAGAAGGCAAAUCAAUAUGUGAAGCCUAAUUUUGAGCAAUUGCAGUAUUGAUUUAUUGAUAUAAAUAGGCGAUUUGUUUAGGACACAAUAUCUUAUAUUAAUAGUUGCCAUUAACUUCUAAUGGAAUGGCCAGAUGCUUAGCAAAACAUACAUCAAAGGUUUCUCUUCUUCAGUGGGUUUGGCAUAUUUCCUUGCUAUCGCCGUUGUACAUCAAAGGUUUCUUUGGGAUCAACCAUCAAGUUUCUCAUAGAGUUGCAGCAACACAUCAUAUCGCAUAAGAGGGUGGUUCAAGCGACUAUGAUAGAUAGAAGGUUUCUAAUUGCGGGGAGUGGCUUGCUGAACCUUUCACAAAUCAAGGUAAUAUUUGUGGGUUUGAUUAUAUAAAAAAUCUUGGUUUGUGUUUAUGAUGGGGAGUAAUAGUAGAGGAAAAGAUGGCGAAGGAACUUCUGGAAUUAACAGGGUUGAUGAUGAUAAUGAUGAUGAUGAUAGCUAUGAAUAUUUACAAGAGAUGAAUUUUGUGCCUAAUGAAACACUUCUUCACAAUAACAUGAAUACCAAUGGUUUUGUAGUUCCCUUUGUCAUGCAACAGGAGCAUAUGAAUGACUGUCGGAGUAUGGGAAGCAACAUUCAUCCGUCUAGCCAGUCAAGGAAAAUUUCCAUAGGAGCUAUGGCAGAACCGAAAGCCAGCUCAAGAAGUGGACCUCUAAGAAAGGGGUUCAUUUUUGUCGUCCUUGGAAUCAAAAAGAAAUACUAGGUGUUUGUAAGCUUCUCUACUUUUUCAGGCAGUGAAAUUAUUGGAGUGGGUUGUAUUCUCAGGGUUCUGUUCAUAUCCAGUUUGAAGGUUGCAUUAAGAUAUUGCAAGUCAAUGGACAUAAAUAUGCAGCAAAGGUUGCGAGAUUAUAUGAGUGGGUUGUGUUAUGCAAAUUCAGGAGGUGUUACAGUUAGCUACUUUGAGUGGGUUCAGGGAGUAGCUUCUUUGCUCAAUGGCAUGUUUGGUUUUGUAAUCGGAAGUGCAACAUCGGUGUUACAAGAGUAGCAAAAAUUACUAAGAGUUAUGACCAUUUGGAGCUUAUGCCAAAGUCGUAAUUCUACCGACACCACACCUACUUUCAUCGUGAGCCGAGCGAAGGUGGUAUAAGUGCGCCUCUGCGGGCUUGACAGUGUUGGGUGUAUAUAUGAUAGCCAAUCAUGCUGUUCGAUACAUCAUGGAAAGGUGACAUCGCAAUGAAUUGGAAAAAAAGGUACACAUCACCGGAUACAAAACCGAAUACCGUUGAAUGUCUUGCAAUUAGGAAGACAAAUUUACAAUGUUAUUUAUGAACAAUGCAUAUGCAUAUGAUUCUACUUCAUUUUACAUUACUUCACACCUUUAAUAAUCUGAGAUAUCUGGACAAGAUAUCUGUUAAGAUAUCUGGACAAGAUAAUGGAGGUAUAUUGCAAUGGUGUUGGAAUCCGAGAGAAUGCUUGAAUAGGAGGUGAUGGCUGGUGCCUUGUGGAGAGGACUGUUUUGGUUGCUGCUAUGAGAUUUUGGGCCUGUCAGUUAUUGGUUUUUGGUUUAUUGGCUUUCUGUUAGUUUUUCUGCAGCAUUACUGCUGCUGUUUUUUCUAUCAGUUUUGCGGUUUUGGUUGGCCUGUGCGCUUUUGCGUUUUGUUUUGCCGUUGUAACCAGCUUUGGCUUUUGUAAUUCUCUUAAACCUUUAGCACUUCUUGUGCUUGAUUGUUAUUAAUAUAUGCUGUUUCAAAAAAAAAAAAAAUCUAUCAUUUUGAAUUCGCAGCCAAAA